rnacentral:rRNA from 1 species
UACGAAAGGUGCAAGCGUUACUCGGAAUCACUGGGCGUAAAGCGCACGUAGGCGGACUCGUAGGUCAAUUGUGAAAUACCUGGGCUCAACCCAGGAACUGCAGUUGAAACCACUUGUCUUGAAUACCUGAGAGGGUGGGGGAAUACCUGGUGGAGAAGUGAAAUUCGUAGAGAUCAGGUGGAAUACCGGAGGCGAAGGCGCCUGCCUGGCAGUGUAUUGACGCUGAGGUGCGAAAGUGCGGGGAGCAAACAGG